rnacentral:lncRNA from 1 species
UCUGUACUUAGGUUCUUUGUUGUUAUGUUUGCGUUCUUUUCAAUUGUUAUAAGUACGUUCCCGUGUAACUUGCAUUCUAUUUGUAUAAACAAACAAUAAGAUAUCAAAGGAACCAAUAAUUAAAUAGAUUAAAAUAAACAAGGAUGGAUGAAUCGUCCAGAAUGAUGUAUUGCUAUAAUUAUAUUGAUGUUCUAAGUUUUAAUUGAGAGAGACGCCUUUAAGAAUAGGAAUAGGAUUAGAUGUAGUCACCCGUAUCUCGGCUGUUCAAUCAAGAUUGGACGGACUAGUUCUUAUACCAGAUUUUAAUAGUCUUCAAAUCUCAAAAGUCGAGCUUUUGGGUUGUGAUUGCAAACAACCUCGGGGCACUCGUUAACAAGACCCUUAAAUUAAUUCAGUUUUGAUUAUUUCCUUUCUGUUCACUAGUUUUUAGUGCAAAGAAAGGAUGUUGAUACGCCUGCAACACUAUCAUUUAAUUUACAUUAUACAUAAGCCAGAAAGCAUAGCAGUACCAUCUAGUUAAUAUAUAUUUUCACAUAUAUUUUCUUAAUUUUUUGUGAAGAAUUUUAUAAAGCCAUAAUGACAUGGUUGUAAAAAAUUCUAUAAGCAGCACAUUUCUCUGUAUUUUAUGUAUUGUUUCUCUAUCAUGAUUUAGUAUGAAGUGGAAAAAAAUUCUAUCAGAAACUCAGCACCUUUCUUGCAUUCUUUUUGUGUUCAAGUUAUAUAAUUCAAUAUCUUCGUAAUCCUUGAAAUGUUCGGUAAUUAAGACCAAGUUUGGACUCGAAUAUCAACUCGUGUAUUAUUCUAUACUCUGGUUAUUAUGCCAUUUUCCAUAUGAUUUACGCCAAUGUUUAUAUGCAUGUUCUAUUCCAUGUCUUAUGGUAAAAGUUUAUGAAUAUUUUCUGUAAUCUUUUCAUAGACAAUAAUAGUCUUCUUUGACUUUGAUGUUAACAAAACUUUUGUGGCCUUAUAAUGGCAGCCGGUAAUUCUGGAGAUAUCAGUUUGAUGGAGCCUCUGUAAACUACGAAGUCUCGAAGAGAUAGGAGCAUGAGAAAAUCAUCUACGGUGCACUUGACUGAAGUUAUGAAACCACAAAUUUGGGAAAAAUUUCCUGAAGAUCUAUUUGAGAAUGUUCUUGCACGACUUCCCAUUGUCACAAUUAUUCGCUUCCGCGCUGUAUGUCAGCAAUGGAAUAACUUGAUAAGCUCACAGAGUUUUUCUCAGUUUUGUGCUCAAGUCUCACAGGAAAAUCCAUGCUUUUAUACAACUUUUGGAGAUUAUGAUUAUGAAGCCAUGUAUGACCCUUAUAUGAAAAGAUGGUAUUAUCCUAAUACACUUGAAUUCUCUGCUUUCCCGGUUUCUUCUGCAGGAGGUCUAGUUUAUUUUCAGUACGAAUGUUUUAAUACAAAUUUGUGUGUUUGUAAUCCAAUGACUAAAUCCUUCAAGAAGUUGCCGAAUGGUUGGAUUAAGCGGUGGUGUCAUUUAGGGAUGACAAUGAAUGGGAGUGCAGACUACAGGGUCCUAAAAUUGGGUUGUAGAAAAUAUGAAAUUUACGAUUCAGUAACAAAAUGCUGGAGUCAUCUAGGAAAGAUACCUGAAUGUAUUAAGGGGCCAGGCUGUAUUAUUUCCACUUCUAUCUCCAUUGACAACACACUUUACUUCAUGCAUAAACAUCAAAACAUUGUUUCCUAUGACACAUCAACUGGGGUUUGGACACAACACUUGAUCCAAGCGCCGUUGCAUUCAUCGGGCUUAACAUUGGCCGUGUCUGAUGGGAAGAUCAUGCUUGUGGGGAUACUCGAAGAGAAUGAUGCUACAUUUGUGUGCAUAUGGGAGGCGCUGAAAAUGACUUUCACAUUGAAGGAGGUUGAUAGAAAGUCGCUCUUAAAAUUUCACCGGAGGCCGGUAGGCUUGACUUGCGUUGGAAACAAAGGUUUGCUCUUGUGUUGCUUGAAAUCAUGCAAUAUGUAUCGUAUGAUUAUUUACAACAUAGCAACUAGGGAAUGGUUGACGGUUCAAUUGCCAUUUAGAAGAAAAGUGUUCAAGCAGCAUCUCGUACGUGCCACUGCAUUCCAACCAUGCCUGACUGCAAUGCCUUGAUUCAACCUAGUUCAAUCUUUUAACAUUUAUUUUUGGAUAGCUAGUUUAGAGUUUUGUAAAAAAAAAUCCAUUUUAUAUAGAGUUUGCUCUUGUGUUGCAUAGCUAGUUUGUUUGGAUACAUCUAUAUAAAAGAGAUUUUUUUAUUUUACAAAACUAGUUCAAUCUUUUAACAUUUAUUUUCUCUCUCCUCUAAAAAAAAUCCAUUUUUUGAGAAGUUACUCUUAACAGCUUCUCAUUUGAAGUUGUUUAAAAAAAAAAAUAAUAAGAUUCCGAUUUUUUUAAAAAGUUGUAACAAACACAUGCAAUAUUCUUAAAAGUGAUUAUUUUGUUUAAAAAAGCUAUAACAAACGGGCUCUUAGAGCAGCUUCUAAAAAAAUAGAUUUUUUUAGAGUAGGGAGAAAAUAUUGUUUAAAUAAUUGAACUAAUUUUUUAACAAAAAAAAAUCCCUUUUAUAUAGUUGUAUACAAACAAACUAGAUUAUUUGUUUUUAAAAAUUGUUUUUUAUUAUGGUAAAUAAACGCAAAAUAGAUAGAUUCUUAUUUUCAUAAAAUCUUUAAAAUAUGGGUCCGUUUGUUGCAGAUUAAAAUAAAAGUGAUUUUGACAUAAAAUAAUUUAGAGAUUAUAUUUUAGAGACUUUAUGAAAAAUCAGAAUCUAUUUUCCGUUUGUUUAUCGUAUUAAAAAUAUAUUUUUUUAAACAAAUAAUCUAGUUUGUUUGGAUACAACUAUAUAAAAGGGAUUUUUGUUACAAAAUUAGUUCAAUCUUUUAAACAAUAUUUUUUUCUACUCUAAAAAAAAUCUAUUUUUUUAGAAGCUGCUCUUAACAGCUUCUCAUUUGAAGCUGUUUUUAGAUUUUUUUUAGAUUCUGAUUUUUUUUUUAAAAAAACUGUAACAAAUUGAUAUAAUAUUCUUAAAAGUGAUUAUUUUCUUAAAAAAAGUAAUUUUUUUUUGUAAAAAAUACUAUAACAAACGGGCUCAUAAACAUGCCCAAAUUAUGGAUCAAAAUAUUGAACUAGUUUUGUACCAAAAAGUCGUUUUUAUAUAGCUGUAUCCAAACUAAAUUAUUUUUAAAAAAAUGUGAUUUUUAUUAGGGAAAACAAACAUAAAAUAGAUUCUGAUUUUUCAUAAAAUCUCUAAGAGUUUAAUGAUGGUGGGUUGAGAGUUGAAAAUAAUAAAUUUGCACCCGCAACCAAUCAAAACAUUUAGAAUUGUCAUAUCAAUUAAAUUAUUACUUAGCUUAUAAUUGAUGUAGCAAUUCUAAAUGUUUUUAUUGAUUUUUUGUGUGCAAUUCUAAGUAUACGGCCUUUUUUCAUAGAGUGGCCAAAAUUAGGAAUGCCUCCAGCCUUAUAACCUCAAUAUCCAAUGGUGGUGAGCUGUUAACUGAUCCUUCUAAAAUCUCUGAGCACAUUGUCAAUCAUUUUAUAGAUAUUUUCAAUCAUACCUCUGAUAUUAUAAACAAUGGAAUGGUGGAAGAAGUGAUUCCUACUCUUAUCACAGAUAGGAUCAAUAACAUUCUCACUUUGCUCCCAUCUGAUGAUGAAUUUCAUCAAGCAGUAUUUUCUCUUAACAAAGAAAGUGCCCCAGGUCCUGAUGGAUUUGGAGCACUUUUUUAUCAAACUUUUUGGGAUAUUAUAAAAAAUGAUGUUUCUAACGCUGUUUUAGAAUUUUUCAAAACUGGUUGGAUUUUGCCAAAUUUUAACUCUAAUAAUAUUUCUUAUUCCAAAGACUAACCAUGCAGGUACAAUUUCUCAUUAUAGACCUAUAGCCAUUCUCAACUUCAAACUCAAGAUUAUCACAAAGAUAUUGGCAAAUAGGCUUUCGAAAUUUAUGCCUGCUUAUCAUUUAAACUCAAAAGAGAGGUUUUACUAAAGGAAGGAGUAUUAAAUAUUGUACUUGCUAAGCCAUAAAUGUCCUUAAUAAGAAGUCUUUUGGUGGUAACUUGGCUAUGAAGAUUGAUAUUGCAAAGGCUUUUGAUACUCUAGACUCGGCCUUUUUGCUUAGAGUUUUAAAAGGCUUUGGUUUUUGUGACACCUUCUGCAACUGGAUCAACUCUAUUCUCCUAUCAGUUAGGAUUUCAGUUUCAAUCAAUGGCAGGAUACAUGGUUUCUUCAGGUGUAGUAGGGGAGUGCGACAGGGGGAUCCUCUGUCCCCUCUUCUUUUUUGCCUUGCAAAGGAAGUUAUUAGUAGAAGCUUGACAGAGAUGGUCAGAGAAGGAAAGUUGAAGCUUAUUCAUGGCACCAGGAAGAUCAAUAUUCCAUCUCAUAUUUUAUAUGCAGAUGACAUGAUGAUUUUUUGCAAAGGAACGAAUUCCAACAUCAAAGCUCUUAAGGAUGUCUACUUGAAGUAUGUAGAAUCUUCUGGUCAAAUGGAAAAUCCUCAGAAAUCUUCAAUUUAUGCAGGCUCAAUCACCAGUCAUAGAUUGUCUCAGGUAUCUCAUCAACUUGGUUUUAGCAUUGGCACUCUACCAUUUCAAUAUCUAGGAGUUCCAAUUUUCAGAGGCAAACCAAAAUAUGUUUAUUUUCAAGCUAUUGCUGAUAAAGUCAAAAGAAAGCUUUCAGCUUGGAAAGCAUCCCUUCUCUCAAUGGCUGGUAGAGUGCAAUUAAUCAAGAGUGUUGUUCAAAGUAUGCUUCUUCACUGUCUUACCAUCUAUUCUGGGCCAGUUAAACUCAUAAAAGAUUUGGAAAAAUGGAUGAGAAACUUUAUUUGGAGUGGAUAUAUUAAUCAGAGAAAGCUUGUAACUGUCUCUUGGUCUAAAGUGUGCAAGCCUAUCAAAGAAGGAGGUCUUGGAGUCAAAAACCUAUCAGAUAUUAAUGAAGAAGGUAAUCUUAAGAACUGUUGGGAUAUUAUGCAGUCAGAUUUACAAUGGGCUCAAUUUAUGAGAAGCAGAGUUCUUAGGGAUAACAAACCUAUUAAUUAUCACGUCUCUUCCUCUAUUUGGAGCAGUGGUAAGCACAAAUUUAGUACCCUAAUGAUAAUGUUGUUUGCAAGAUUGGAAAUGGUGAACCAAUUAGAUUUUGGAUUGACCGCUGGUGUGGUGAACUACUCAUUUUGGCCUUGAACAUUCCAGACCAUCUCCAUAAUCUCUUGCAAUCUAAACUUUCUACUUACAUCAGAGAUUUCAAAUGGAAUAUCCCUCAUGUUUUUCUAUCUGCCUACCCUUAUUUACACCAAAAGCUUAUUCUCACCACUUUGCCUAAUACUUUUAAAGAAGAUAAGCUCAUCUCGAAAACAUCUCAUGAUGAUAACCUCACUUUUAAGGAUGCUUACAUGUUUCAUGCUUCCCCUCAUCCUCAAACCUUGAAUUGGACAAAGUGCAUCUGGAAUACUGCCAUAACUCCAUCUAAAUCAUCUGAGGUGACCAGUUGCUAUUACGACAUUCCUGGAAGGAAGAAUUAGAAAACAUGAGGUUUCAUACUUAAUUUCAUUAAGUAGAAUUAAGAAAUAACCAAUUAGAACAACCAUGAACAUAAGAAGAAUUUCGGGUUGUCAAUCCUACUAAUCUAUACAGACCAAUUUUCAAGAUUAUCGAUACGAAUUUUCAAUUGAAAAAACAUUAAGCACGGAAAAGAACAAAUUAAAUCAGACACAAGAAAAGCGUAAAUGAAUAAAAACUUAAUUAAUGGAAUCCAACAAAUAAGAAGGGGUUUAUCUUUGAACCCUAAUCAAAGAGGUUUAGUUGCACAUGGCAACAUACAUCAUCGCAAAACAAAAGAAAAAUAUAUCUUAGAGAGAACAAGAGGAGGAUGGAGAUCCUCUGCCUUGGACUCUGAUGCUUGACAUUUGCCUUGCACCGUUAGCUUUCUGAAUGAAUAAGAAUGUGUGCAAGUGUCUAUUUUUAUAACAUAUGAUUACUUGCGGUUUAAAAGAAGAAAACCGACAUUUUUCCACCGAUCCAGCUUGGAAAACAAGUAAAGAAUGAUAUUAACUCGCAGAAAAGAAAAGAUGUGCAUCCCUGGGGAGCAUGAUACGUAUGAGGCAAACACUGUCGCUAAAAGCGAUUUUUGAGUACCGUUUCAAAGCGGAUGGUAGUUAAUUAUUGUUAGGGAUAUUUUCAUCAAAUUGAAGUGCUUGUAAGCAGGCACAGAUGGAAGCUAUGUACAAUGGGAUCAGUUGACCCCACUCUUGGUUUUUCUCUCCCAACCAGUAAUGGGAUAAUUGAAUAUCUUGACCCAAAUUUAAAUCUUAUAUAUGUUCCUCACAUAGAGAUAAACCAAUGUCUAAUAUGUAAACAAUUUGAAAAUAGUGUUACUUUGUACUGCAUUUUGAAAAGUAGAUCGGUGUUAUCAUCAUUUGCCUAUUUUCCUAUAUAUGCAUUAAAAAAAUAUUGGCAUUUGGGUUUUUCUGUUUGACAAAGACAUUUGGACUUUUACUUUUAAAAAUAUCAUUGGUCUUUCUUUAAAAAAAAAAAUAUAAAAAAAAAAACACUCGUUGUUUUCACAUCUAUUGUUUUCUAGAAACACAUGAAAAUGACCAAAAAACUCAUCGGUAGUUAAUUACUGUCGGAUUUCUAGUUAUAAGUCAGCGAUAGUUAACUACCGAUGAUGUAGUUUUAAGAAACAAUGAAUGUGAGAUAAGAAAUUAUCAAGAAAAUGCUCCAAAAAAGAUUAAAAAAUUAAUGAGAAAAAAAAAAAGAAUUGAAAUAGGUAUUGGAAGAUGAAUUGCUUAACAAUAGGUUUAUAAAGGUGUGUUGUGAAUUGCUUAAUUGUGUAACAUGAAUUGCUUCUUAAUAGGUUUAGAAAGGUGAGUGGUAAAUUGCUUCCUUGGAGAUCAUGGGACUUAAAAAUUCUAUCAUGGAUGUUUGUUCCUUUUUGCGAACAAUUUUCUAAUUUAGAUGGGGUAAGUUAUCUUUUAAGAAAGUCUGUGAAAACUAGAAAACAAAUUUGUUAUCCAAUAUUAUACUUAAUUUUAAAGCUAACAUUAUUAUUGCAUAUGGCGACUCCAAUUCUUGACAGGAGUUUCUCUGCAAUAAAUUUUGUAAAGAAUCAAAUGCACAGCCAUAUAGAAGAUGAACUUUUAAUGAUUAAUUGAUAACAUGUUGACGGUAACAUAUUCGACACUGUUGAAAAUAAAAUAUAAAAAAACUUACAUCACUUUAAGAAUAUUUUUUUUGAAGGAAUCACUUUUAAAAUAUGAAAACAUGCAAAGAGCAAUUAUAAUUCUUUGAUAUGACGGUGUCUUUAGUACAAUAAUAUAAUUUUUUGCUUAAUGAUAUCAUCAUUUCAUCGGUUUUCAAGUAAUAUAUUAUUGUUUUAAGGUUUAUAACAAAUAACUUUAACUCUUAUUAAAAAUUUUGGAUUUGUCACUGUCUAUCAGGAAUCGCUAGCACCAGGAUGGUAAAAAGGAUGGUACAAAAUUAACCUCUUUUUCUACCAUCGUUCAUAUCAAAUAAAGAAGGUUUUUCUAUAAUGUCCUCAAAAAAAAGAAUAGCAUCAUUUGAUCCAAAAUAAAACAUUAUCAGUGUGCAAUGUGCACGACAAUGACAAUAAAAACACACAUACUACACUAGACAAGAAAGCUUUUUCAAAGCAGCAGCCAAAACUACAGUAGCAACUUCAAUUCAGCAAGUUAGUUUUAUAUAAUAAUAAUAAUAAUAAUAAUAAUAAUAAUAAUAAUAAUGUUUUAUUUUAUUUUAUGCUUUAUUAUUAUUAUUAUUAUGUUUUAUUUUAAAUGAGAAAAAGUUUCUAAGUUGAGCUAUAUAGCUUCAAUAGAUCAGGGCAUGCCUCAAUACUUGUACUUACAAAUCACACCGACUAAAAGUAUGGUUCAGAUUGGCAGAGAGUUGAACCCACGACAUUAUAGAUGAGUCAAUAUCUUAUCAACUAAUAUGUUAGCUAAACUCACAUCAACAAUCUCACAUUAACAAAGACAAAAAAAUUUGAGUACUAUACCAACCUUUGUAAAUGGGAAAGAAAAAAAAAAUUACUGUUUAGAAUUAGAAGCUCUGACGAUUUAUUCACCAUAAUUAAUCUUCACGGAAAUGCCCGUGACUUUUUUCACCAGAGGACAAAAUGAAAGCUUUGAAUUUUAACUCUUUCCCAAAUAAAACCACCCACAAUAGUCUCAAUCUCAAUCAAAUUGCACUUAUGGCGUUUGCCGCAGUAAUGUCUUACAUUAAGCGACCAAGACAAGAUUUAAUGUCUUCACUCUUGAGCAUACCAUAUACUCCAUCUCCAAAUAUUGAGUGUUGCUAUCUUCAUUUUUAUCCUGGCGAGGUUUGAAAAUGGCGGCGUCGAUUGUUUGGUUAGGAAGAGGAGAUGUUGUUGGAGUAUAGGGAGCUAUUAUCUACCUUUUUUUUACAAAGACAAUAUGAGGUGGAAGAUAGGUGAAAAUGACAACUCACAUCUGACAAAGGCUACACCAUCAGAGAUGUUUAUCACCUGUUGGUUAAGGAUGAUCCGGUCGAUAACCUUCAAGAUGUUAUUUGGCACAAAGUGUCACUUUUAAAAGUUUCUAUUAUUGUAUGGCAUUUUCUCCGAAAUAGGUUGCUAACAUAUGAUAAUCUAUUUUGAUGUGAAAUUAUUCAACAAAACUUGAAUGUGUGUGUAAGUGGUUGUGGUUUUGAGGAAGGCAUAAAUAAUUUAUAUUUGGGAUGUAAUCUUUUUGGAAGGAGGAAUACUAACAACACUCACUUUUCAACACUCUCUCCAACAUUUAUUCAUUUAUUGGAUGAAAUUAAUGUAUGUUCCACCACUUAGUGCGGGUUCAAUUUUCAAAGUGUAGACCCACAAUGAUUUAAACCAUUAAGAGAGUGGAUAUUAGAAAGAGUGUUUAAAAGAGAGUGUUGCUAGCAUUACUCAUUCAAUUAAUAAAUCCUUCAAAUUUGUUUGAUCAUAUGUUGUAUUUUGGCAUGCUUGGCGGGUUCUCCAAAAUCAUUUGCUAUUAUUUUUGUACCACUUGGCUCGCCUAUCUAUGGGUUAUAUGGAAGGAAAAAAUUACCGUUGUUUUCAGCAAAAGGUGGAGUCAAUAAAUUAUUGCUUGAUAAUGUUAAAUUGUUGUCUUUUUUUUUUUUUGUGGUUGAAAGUAAAAGAUCCUAGCUUAUCUUUUGAUCUUAAUCAUUGGUGGGUUUGUUCUUUGUUGCAU